UCCGGUUUGACACCGGCAGUCCCCUUAGAGUCCCCGGCAUAACCCGCUGGUAACUAAGGGCAAAGGUUUCGCUCGUUAAGGGACUUAACCCGACAUCUCACGACACGAGCUGACGACAGCCAUGCAGCACCUGUACCAGUUCCACCCCGAAGGGCGUACCCCACUUUCAUGGGGAUAAUCCUGGCAUGUCAAGCCCAGGUAAGGUUCUGCGCGUUGCUUCGAAUUGAACCACAUGCUCCACCGCUUGUGUGAGCCCCCGUCAAUUCCUUUGAGUUUUAGCCUUGCGACCGUACUUCCCAGGCGGUCUACUUAGCACUUUUGCUUCGACCGCAACUUCAUCAGAUGAAGCUGCGAUCUAGUAGACAUCGUUUACGGCCAGGACUAC
rnacentral:misc_RNA from 1 species